GACGUGGGGUGCGAGCGUUGUCCGGAUUUAUUGGGCGUAAAGAGCUCGUAGGCGGCUCGUCGCGUCGACCGUGAAAACCCGCGGCUUAACUGCGGGCUUGCGGUUGAUACGGGCGGGCUAGAGUUCGGUAGGGGAGACUGGAAUUCCUGGUGUAGCGGUGAAAUGCGCAGAUAUCAGGAGGAACACCGGUGGCGAAGGCGGGUCUCUGGGCCGAUACUGACGCUGAGGAGCGAAAGCGUGGGGAGCGAACAGG
rnacentral:rRNA from 1 species